UACGGGGGGGCAAGCGUUGUUCGGAAUUACUGGGCGUAAAGGGCUCGUAGGUGGCCAACUAAGUCAGACGUGAAAUCCCUCGGCUUAACCGGGGAACUGCGUCUGAUACUGGAUGGCUUGAGUUCGGGAGAGGGAUGCGGAAUUCCAGGUGUAGCGGUGAAAUGCGUAGAUAUCUGGAGGAACACCGGUGGCGAAGGCGGCAUCCGUGGACCGACACUGACACUGAGGAGC
rnacentral:rRNA from 1 species